rnacentral:rRNA from 1 species
GACGAACGCUGGCGGCGUGCUUAACACAUGCAAGUCGAACGAACGAAUGUUUUUGCACUGAGCAUAUCGCAAGAUAUGUUGAGUGCAAGAAUGUGAGUUAGUGGCGGACUGGUGAGUAACGCGUGAGCAACCUGCCUCUAACAGGGGAAUAACACUUAGAAAUAGGUGCUAAUACCGCAUAACAUUGUUUUUGGCAUCAGAAGACAAUCAAAGAUUUAUCGGUUAGAGAUGGGCUCGCGUAUCAUUAGCUAGUUGGUAGGGUAAAAGCCUACCAAGGCGACGAUGAUUAGCCGACCUGAGAGGGUGAACGGCCACACUGGAACUGAGACACGGUCCAGACUCCUACGGAGGCAGCAGUGGGAAUAUUGGGCAAUGGAGGCAACUCUGACCCAGCAACGCCGCGUGAAGGAAGAAGGCCCUCUGGGUUGUAAACUUCUGUUGUAUAGGAAUAAAGUGAGGCACGUGUGCC